UUGGGAGCUCUCCCAUAUGGUCGACCUGCAGGCGGCCGCGAAUUCACUAGUGAUUCGUAUUACCGCGGCUGCUGGCACGGAGUUAGCCGGAGCUUAUUCUCCCGGUACUGUCAUUAUCAUCCCGGGUAAAAGAGCUUUACGACCCUAAGGCCUUCAUCACUCACGCGGCAUUGCUGGAUCAGGCUUGCGCCCAUUGUCCAAUAUUCCCCACUGCUGCCUCCCGUAGGAGUCUGGGCCGUGUCUCAGUCCCAGUGUGGCUGAUCAUCCUCUCAGACCAGCUAAGGAUCGUCGGCUUGGUAGGCCUUUACCCCACCAACUACCUAAUCCUACGCGGGCUCAUCCCUGGCCGAUAAAUCUUUGGUCCGAAGACAUCAUCCGGUAUUAGCAGUCAUUUCUAACUGUUAUUCCGAAGCCACGGGCAGAUUCCCACGCGCUACGCACCCGUGCGCCACUAACCCCGAAGGGUUCGUUCGACUUGCAUGUGUUAGGCAUGCCGCCAGCGUUCGUUCUGAGCCAUGAUCAAACUCUAAUCGAAUUCCCGCGGCCGCCAUGGCGGCCGGGAGCAUGCGACGUCGGGCCC
rnacentral:rRNA from 1 species